rfam:Larimichthys crocea isolate SSNF unplaced genomic scaffold scaffold125, whole genome shotgun sequence.
CUUUUUAUAUGAUGAUUACAGUGCAAACCUCUGGUAGCUGUAAUCUGAAGACUUAAAAG